UACGUAGGGGGCAAGCGUUGUCCGGAUUUACUGGGCGUAAAGAGCGCGUAGGCGGAAGCUUAAGCGGUACCUGAAAGCCCCCCGGCUCAACCGGGGGAAGGUGGCGCCGAACUGGGCUUCUUGAGGGCGAUAGAGGAAAGUGGAAUUCCGGGUGUAGCGGUGAAAUGCGUAGAUAUCCGGAGGAACACCAGUGGCGCAGGCGCUUCUUGGGUCGGACCCUGACGCUGGAGGCGCGAAAAGCGUGGGGGAGCGAACGGGG
rnacentral:rRNA from 1 species